GGUGAACGCUGGCGGCGUGCCUAACACAUGCAAGUCGAGCGGGUACCCGCAAGGGUACCAGCGGCGCACGGGUGAGUAACACGUGGGUAAUCUACCCCUCGGAGGGGGAUAACCGGGGGAAACUCCGGCUAAUACCCCAUACGAUCCAACAACACAAGUUGUUGGAUGAGAGGAGCGUUUGCUCCGCCGAGGGAUGAGCCCGCGGCCCAUCAGGUAGUUGGUGGGGUAAUGGCCCACCAAGCCUACGACGGGUAGCCGGCCUGAGAGGGUGGUCGGCCACAAGGGCACUGAGACACGGGCCCUACUCCUACGGGAGGCAGCAGUGGGGAAUCUUGGACAAUGGGCGAAAGCCUGAUCCAGCGACGCCGCGUGGGGGAUGAAGCCCUUCGGGGUGUAAACCCCUGUUGCGAGGGAGGAAUAAGGCCUGGAGGAAAUGCCAGGCCGAUGACUGUACCUCGCGAGGAAGCCCCGGCUAACUACGUGCCAGCAGCCGCGGUAAUACGUAGGGGGCGAGCGUUACCCGGAUUCACUGGGCGUAAAGCGGGUGUAGGCGGCUCGGUAAGUCGGGUGUGAAAUCCCACAGCUCAACUGUGGAAUUGCGCCCGAAACUGCUGAGCUUGGGGCCGGUAGAGGGAGACGGAACUGCCGGUGUAGGGGUGAAAUCCGUAGAUAUCGGCAGGAACGCCGGUUGGGAAGCCGGUCUCCUGGGCCGCGCCCGACGCUGAGACCCGAAAGCUAGGGGAGCAAACC
rnacentral:rRNA from 1 species